rnacentral:rRNA from 1 species
GCAGCACGGAGCUUGCUCUGGUGGCGAGUGGCGAACGGGUGAGUAAUGCGUCGGAACGUAUCCAAUAAUGGGGGAUAACGCAGCGAAAGCUGUGCUAAUACCGCAUACGCCCUCCGGGGGAAAGCAGGGGAUCUUCGGACCUUGCGUUAAUGGAGCGGCCGACGUCUGAUUAGCUAGUUGGUAGGGUAAAGGCCUACCAAGGCGACGAUCAGUAGCUGGUCUGAGAGGAUGAUCAGCCACACUGGGACUGAGACACGGCCCAGACUCCUACGGGAGGCAGCAGUGGGGAAUUUUGGACAAUGGGCGCAAGCCUGAUCCAGCCAUUCCGCGUGAGUGAAGAAGGCCUUCGGGUUGUAAAGCUCUUUCAGGAGGGAAGAAACGAUUGUGGCUAAUACCCAUGAUUAAUGACGGUACCUUCAGAAGAAGCACCGGCUAACUACGUGCCAGCAGCCGCGGUAAUACGUAGGGUGCGAGCGUUAAUCGGAAUUACUGGGCGUAAAGCGUGCGCAGGCGGUUUUUCAAGUCUGAUGUGAAAUCCCCGGGCUUAACCUGGGAACUGCGUUGGAAACUGAAAGACUAGAGUGCGGCAGAGGGGGGUAGAAUUCCACGUGUAGCAGUGAAAUGCGUAGAUAUGUGGAGGAAUACCGAUGGCGAAGGCAGCCCCCUGGGUCGACACUGACGCUCAUGCACGAAAGCGUGGGUAGCAAACAGGAUUAGAUACCCUGGUAGUCCACGCCCUAAACGAUGUCAACUAGUUGUUGGGGAGGGAGACCUCCUUAGUAACGCAGCUAACGCGUGAAGUUGACCGCCUGGGGAGUACGGUCGCAAGAUUAAAACUCAAAGGAAUUGACGGGGGCCCGCACAAGCGGUGGAUUANGUGGAUUAAUUCGAUGCAACGCGAAAAACCUUAUCUACCCNUUGA